UACGAAGGGGGCUAGCGUUGCUCGGAAUCACUGGGCGUAAAGGGUGCGUAGGCGGGUUUUUAAGUCAGGGGUGAAAUCCUGGAGCUCAACUCCAGAACUGCCUUUGAUACUGAAAGUCUUGAGUAUGGGAGAGGUGAGUGGAACUGCGAGUGUAGAGGUGAAAUUCGUAGAUAUUCGCAAGAACACCAGUGGCGAAGGCGGCUCACUGGCCCAUAACUGACGCUGAGGCACGAAAGCGUGGGGAGCAAACAGG
rnacentral:rRNA from 1 species